rnacentral:rRNA from 1 species
GAUGAACGCUGGCGGCGUGCCUAACACAUGCAAGUCGAGCGAUUCUCCUCGGCGAAGAGCGGCGGACGGGUGAGUAACGCGUGGGUAACCUGCCCUGUACACACGGAUAACAUACCGAAAGGUAUGCUAAUACGAGAUAAUAUGCUUUUAUCGCAUGGUAGAAGUAUCAAAGCUCCGGCGGUACAGGAUGGACCCGCGUCUGAUUAGCUAGUUGGUAAGGUAACGGCUUACCAAGGCGACGAUCAGUAGCCGACCUGAGAGGGUGAUCGGCCACAUUGGAACUGAGACACGGUCCAAACUCCUACGGGAGGCAGCAGUGGGGAAUAUUGCACAAUGGGCGAAAGCCUGAUGCAGCAACGCCGCGUGAGCGAUGAAGGCCUUCGGGUCGUAAAGCUCUGUCCUCAAAGAAGAUAAUGACGGUACUUGAGGAGGAAGCCCCGGCUAACUACGUGCCAGCCGCCGCAGUAAAAC